rnacentral:rRNA from 1 species
AGAACGAACGCUGGCGGCAGGCCUCAAACAUGCAAGUCUAGGGGGGUAGCAAUACCCACCGGCGGACGGGUGCGUAACACGUGGGAAUAUACCUUUCGGUACGGAACAACUGCGGGAAACUGCAGCUAAUACCGUAUACGUCCUAACGGAGAAAGAUUUAUCGCCGAAGGAUUAGCCCGCGUCCGAUUAGCUAGUUGGUGAGGUAAUGGCUCACCAAGGCUCCGAUCGGUAGCUGUUCUGAGAGGAAGAUCAGCCACACUGGGACUGAGACACGGCCCAGACUCCUACGGGAGGCAGCAGUUGGGAAUCUUGGACAAUGGGGAAACCCUGAUCCAGCCAUGCCGCGUGAGUGAUGAAGGCCUUGGGUGUAAAACUCUUUCGACGGGGACGAUAAUGACGGUACCCGUAGAAGAAGCUCCGGCUAACUUCGUGCCAGCAGCCGC